rnacentral:misc_RNA from 1 species
UCCGUGUUAACCACGGCAGUCUCUUUAGAGUGCCCAACUUAAUGCUGGCAACUAAAGACAAGGGUUGCGCUCGUUGCGGGACUUAACCCAACAUGUCACCACACGAGCUGACGACAGCCAUGCAGCACCUGUCAUCCGGCUUACUUGCGUAAGAAAUCGUAUCUCUACGACGGUCCAGAGAUGUCAAACCCAGGUAAGGUUCUUCGCGUUGCUUCGAAUUAAACCACAUGAUCCACCGCUUGUGCGGGCCCCCGUCAAUUCCUUUGAGUUUUAGUCUUGCGACCGUACUUCCCAGGCGGGGUACUUAGUGCGUUAGCUCCGAUUCAACAGGGGUCAAAUCCCGUCAAAUCUAGUACCCAUCGUUUACGGCGUGGACUAC